GAAAAAAUCAGUCGCAGGCACAUCUCCCCCCUCCACUACUCUGACCCCAAACCCAACCGCCGUCGCCCCAAAUCUAAAGUCCCACGCUGCCGCUCCCCAGCGCCGCCUCUUGCCGUCGCUCCUCCCCGGCUCCCUGCGCCGCAACUCCCAUCUGCUUCCGUGAUGCUAUCUUCCCUGGUGCUGCUGCUCGCUGCAAUUCAUGAUCCUCCUUAUCUGCAUCUAGCACUGCGCAUCUUAGGUGCCCUGGCGCACCCAAAUCAAUCCCGCUGGAGGAGCCAGUAAUGUUGGAUCCAGCGCUUCCACUCGCUCCUCUUCGGCUUCAACGCCACACUCGACACAUGGUGAUGCCGUGAAAGGCUUCUGAAGUGGUGAAGUAUCCUCGACCUGCAGGCCCUCGACCUGGGAGCGUCUCAUGAGGAUGACACCUUCAUUGCGCCCAUCUGUGCCGCGGUCUCCGCAUGGCUCGCCGCCACCUCAUGCAGCUGUGAUCCAACUCCAACAGGUUAGGAACACUUCCCCACUGUAACACAUGCAGUGCUGCGAUGCUAGACAUCUAAUUUUCGAAUUACAUGUGUAUGAAAGACAAGAAGUUUCUCCCUGCGUCACUUGGACAUUUCAUCGAAAUCUGAACCCCCUUGAUGCUGCUCGUUUCAUAAUUGGCAUAAGAUGAAGUUGAGGUAAGUACUUCCCUGCAUGACCCUGAUUCACUUUUGUUUUUCUUCAGAACUGAGUUUUGACAAUCAAAUCUCUAAUCUUUUAUGGCGUCAAAGUUCCAAAAUAUGUCCUAAGGAUAAUUUCAAGCUCUAAACUAAUGGCAGGUAAUCUGUUCCACAUGCAAGUGUUCAAUUUCAUAAUAUACGUGAGAUAACAUUUUUUUUUGAUAAAAAAAAAGAACUCAUAUAUAUGCUUUUUCCUUACAAGUAUAGUUUAUACUACCAAUGGUAUUUGCAAUCGUCAUGUUAGGUAUGCGUGGAUGCUCUCAUUAUAGCUUGGUAAGUCUCAUGGUGCAGCCUUUCAUGUCAGUAUUAAUAUAUGAUCCCGAUAGCAUUAGUUACCACCUAAUAUGACCACUGUACUGUUGUCUUCAGAGAAUAGACAUCUUGCAUCAUUCCAAUGCUAUUGCUUAAUAAACAUCUUGCAUCCUUCAAAUGAUACUGUUUAUAUUUGACCUUUUAGUACAAUUUGAUCUUGAAUCAAAGAGUCCGUUCUAUUAAAUUGACUAUAGUUUAAUCUUCAGUGGAAGCCAUGAUGACUUCUACUGAAUGAUGCUUGAUAUAACCUCAUUUACAGGUUAAUUGAAGUAUUCUAAUUUCAUCAUGUAAAUUUGGGUCACCACACAUAUCCUAUAUCUUAUACACAAAUAAUUUGUUUGUUUAAUAUGCAGGAUCCUGGGAGACCAUGAAAAAAAUCUGAAAACUGAAGCAAACAUGGACGAGUGAAAUACAAAUUAGCUGCAAGCAUGAAGCUUUUUAAAUAGAUUUUGAUUUUAUAAAAAAUAGGGGUGAUAUGUAACAUUUUCAGUUUGUUAGAUGAUUGUUGACUGUAUAUGCUCUAAUAUGAAAUGAGUAUUGGUUCCUGUG